rnacentral:rRNA from 1 species
GCUUGUCUCAAAGAUUAAGCCAUGCAUGUCUAAGUAUAAACGACUUUAUACUGUGAAACUGCGAAUGGCUCAUUAUAUCAGUUAUAGUUUAUUUGAUGGUCCUUGCUACUUGGAUAACCGUAGUAAUUCUAGAGCUAAUACAUGCAUCAAGCCCCGACUUCUGGAAGGGGUGUAUUUAUUAGAUGGAAACCAAUGCGGGGCAACCCGGUAUAUGGUGAUUCAUAAUAACUGAUCGAAUCUCAAAUUUGAGAUAAAUCAUUCAAGUUUCUGCCCUAUCAGCUUUCGAUGGUAGUGUAUUGGACUACCAUGGCAGUAACGGGUAACGAAGAAUUAGGGUUCGAUUUCGGAGAGGGAGCAUGAGAAACGGCUACCACAUCUAAGGAAGGCAGCAGG